AUUUUUUUUCCUGCCAAGCUAUUCAUUCAGGCUUGUGGUGUGAAAAAUAGAUGUUUAAUAGUCAAUGAAGUACUAUAGUGGGUAAUAGUUUAUAAAUUUCCAUGACUUAUUAUGCUCAGCCUAAGUGACUGUUUAUUAAGUGUAUUUAAAGCCCCCCAUCUCAUUAACUUACAGUACUGGUGAUUCCCUCCUCCUACCACUGCUGUUUUUAAUGGAAAAUAUUCACCCAUGUCUUUUGCCUAGGGCAUGUGAAACAAUUCUGUGGAAAAGAGGCUGCUUGGAUAAGAACAGGACAUCAUCCUUGGCUAGGUACAAUGUGUUUAUCAUUUUCGGAAGCAGAGUGAAUCUGAAUUAUGAGGUCUCUUGGAAGCUGAAGAUAAACAUAAGAUAACGGGGAUAUGAAAACAGAAAAAAUGGUAAGUACUCUGAUAACAUGAAGAGACAACUGUAAUAAGGUAAAAAGAUGUUGUGCAUAAAAUCCCCUCUGUUAAGGAAAAUCUGAAAAUGUUUUUU
rnacentral:lncRNA from 1 species